UGAGGAAUAUUGGUCAAUGGGCGUGAGCCUGAACCAGCCAAGUCGCGUGAGGGAAGACUGCCCUAUGGGUUGUAAACCUCUUUUGUCGGGGAGCAAAGCCGCCACGUGUGGCGGUUUGAGAGUACCCGAAGAAAAAGCAUCGGCUAACUCCGUGCCAGCAGCCGCGGUAAUACGGAGGAUGCGAGCGUUAUCCGGAUUUAUUGGGUUUAAAGGGUGCGUAGGCGGACGAUCAAGUCAGCGGUCAAAUGUCGGGGCUUAACCCCGGCCGUGCCGUUGAAACUGGUUGUCUUGAGUGAGCGAGAGGUAUGCGGAAUGCGUGGUGUAGCGGUGAAAUGCAUAGAUAUCACGCAGAACCCCGAUUGCGAAGGCAGCAUACCGGUGCUCAACUGACGCUGAUGCACGAAAGCGUGGGGAUCAAACAGGAUUAGAUACC
rnacentral:rRNA from 1 species